AGAUAUAUCGUUGAGUGAAAAGUAAUAAGAGACGCAACUUGAUCAAUUUAUAUGAGGCUUGUGCGGGCACCGACAAAUAGAUGCGCCAGUUGUCAAAAGGCACCGAGAUCACAGAGUACUUGACUUUUAUUCGGUGCCGAGGCCCGAGAUGUUUCAGUGACGUAAUUGAUUGGAAAGUGUUGGUGAUGACGUCACGACAGGGCUGCCAAAUAAACAGCUGAUGGAAAUAAAACAAUUCAUUCGCAAAACACAAAUUCAUUUUUAGUGCGCGUUUUGCAAUGGCGUUUUGUUUCCGAUUUCCCUUUUUAGUGCUACUGUCGUGGAUGUCCACAUGAUUCAAGACGGGAAACGUGCAGUUGUUCCGAUUUCCAGCAGAAAAUAAACAAUUUUACUAGUGGAAAAAGAUGUGCAGUAGAGCGAGCCAAUCGAGAUCCGAAGUAGAGUGAUGGUAACAACAUGUUGGGUCACCACUACCAUAUUAUUCCCAUGGAAUAAAGAGGGCACAUGGAAAUUUCUUUAUCGAGAAACGUGGAAAAGAAAAACCAAAAAAGUUUGACCAGUAAGAAAUGUAACGAAGAACCCGGAGCCAUGGAAGCAGGUCCUUUCACUUCAACAUUUCUGCUAAAAUCUCGAACACUUGAAAAAACCGAGUUGUACUUUUUCAAAGAAGAAAAUACUAAUUUAAAUGAAACCCUACAACUACAACAGUGUGAAAAAAAACUAUUGUUCCAAGAUAUUAGUGGGGCUCACUUUUUAGUGUAGCUGGGCUGUGGAAAUCAUACCACCAGACUAUCUAUUAUGUACGUUGAUGAAGUUUCGAUUAAAUUUAAAAUAUUUUAAGUGUUUUAGAUUUACAGUGAGUAGGUAACAUGAAAAUGCAAAACAUUAUCGUCACAUUUAUAUGUGCUACUUGUAAUGUUGUACGCGGGCCUUAUGAGUAAUAUGAGUAAUAGAGAGAAAAAUUAUCUUUUUAUAUCGACAUGCUUCAAAGACAUCACAAAUGGCAGAAUUGUGUUGGAUUGCACGGAAAUUGAAGGUGCAAUUCCGCAUUCCUUUAAAAAAGCUUUAUCUUCU